rnacentral:lncRNA from 1 species
AUAUAAGUUUGUUUCACCUAAUCGUUAUGAAUUUAUAUUCGUAAGUAGUGAAGGUCACUAGUCACGAUCGUGUUAAGUAGAUUCUUGACAAGAGUUUCAUGCUUUUCAUAGUUACGAAUGCCUUGUCGAUGCUUAUGACUUCCAAAGAAUGUAAUGAUUCUAACUUGUGUCUUUAUCAUGUUGUUCAUAUAAAGAACUUGUUGGGAAUAAUUUGUUUGCGAUGCAUAUUCAUCCAAUUCAAUGAUUCUAGGG